AUUGAACGCUGGCGGCAGGCCUAACACAUGCAAGUCGAGCGGAUGAAGGGAGCUUGCUCCUGGAUUCAGCGGCGGACGGGUGAGUAAUGCCUAGGAAUCUGCCUGGUAGUGGGGGAUAACGUCCGGAAACGGGCGCUAAUACCGCAUACGUCCUGAGGGAGAAAGUGGGUGAUCUUCGGACCUCACGCUAUCAGAUGAGCCUAGGUCGGAUUAGCUAGUUGGUGGGGUAAAGGCCUACCAAGGCGACGAUCCGUAACUGGUCUGAGAGGAUGAUCAGUCACACGGGAACUGAGACACGGUCCAGACUCCUACGGGAGGCAGCAGUGGGGAAUAUUGGACAAUGGGCGAAAGCCUGAUCCAGCCAUGCCGCGUGUGUGAAGAAGGUCUUCGGAUUGUAAAGCACUUUAAGUUGGGAGGAAGGGCAGUAAGUUAAUACCUUGCUGUUUUGACGUUACCAACAGAAUAAGCACCGGCUAACUUCGUG
rnacentral:rRNA from 1 species